rnacentral:rRNA from 1 species
UUGAACGCUGGCGGCAGGCCUAACACAUGCAAGUCGAACGGUAACAGGAAGAAGCUUGCUUCUUUGCUGACGAGUGGCGGACGGGUGAGUAAUGUCUGGGAAACUGCCUGAUGGAGGGGGAUAACUACUGGAAACGGUAGCUAAUACCGCAUAACGUCGCAAGACCAAAGAGGGGGACCUUCGGGCCUCUUGCCAUCGGAUGUGCCCAGAUGGGAUUAGCUAGUAGGUGGGGUAACGGCUCACCUAGGCGACGAUCCCUAGCUGGUCUGAGAGGAUGACCAGCCACACUGGAACUGAGACACGGUCCAGACUCCUACGGGAGGCAGCAGUGGGGAAUAUUGCACAAUGGGCGCAAGCCUGAUGCAGCCAUGCCGCGUGUAUGAAGAAGGCCUUCGGGUUGUAAAGUACUUUCAGCGGGGAGGAAGGGAGUAAAGUUAAUACCUUUGCUCAUUGACGUUACCCGCAGAAGAAGCACCGGCUAACUCCGUGCCAGCAGCCGCGGUAAUACGGAGGGUGCAAGCGUUAAUCGGAAUUACUGGGCGUAAAGCGCACGCAGGCGGUUUGUUAAGUCAGAUGUGAAAUCCCCGGGCUCAACCUGGGAACUGCAUCUGAUACUGGCAAGCUUGAGUCUCGUAGAGGGGGGUAGAAUUCCAGGUGUAGCGGUGAAAUGCGUAGAGAUCUGGAGGAAUACCGGUGGCGAAGGCGGCCCCCUGGACGAAGACUGACGCUCAGGUGCGAAAGCGUGGGGAGCAAACAGGAUUAGAUACCCUGGUAGUCCACGCCGUAAACGAUGUCGACUUGGAGGUUGUGCCCUUGAGGCGUGGCUUCCGGAGCUAACGCGUUAAGUCGACCGCCUGGGGAGUACGGCCGCAAGGUUAAAACUCAAAUGAAUUGACGGGGGCCCGCACAUGCGGUGGAGCAUGUGGUUUAAUUCGAUGCAACGCGAAGAACCUUACCUGGUCUUGACAUCCACGGAAGUUUUCAGAGAUGAGAAUGUGCCUUCGGGAACCGUGAGACAGGUGCUGCAUGGCUGUCGUCAGCUCGUGUUGUGAAAUGUUGGGUUAAGUCCCGCAACGAGCGCAACCCUUAUCCUUUGUUGCCAGCGGUCCGGCCGGGAACUCAAAGGAGACUGCCAGUGAUAAACUGGAGGAAGGUGAGGAUGACGUCAAGUCAUCAUGGCCCUUACGACCAGGGCUACACACGUGCUACAAUGGCGCAUACAAAGAGAAGCGACCUCGCGAGAGCAAGCGGACCUCAUAAAGUGCGUCGUAGUCCGGAUUGGAGUCUGCAACUCGACUCCAUGAAGUCGGAAUCGCUAGUAAUCGUGGAUCAGAAUGCCACGGUGAAUACGUUCCCGGGCCUUGUACACACCGCCCGUCACACCAUGGGAGUGGGUUGCAAAAGAAGUAGGUAGCUUAACCUUCGGGAGGGCGCUUACCACUUUGUGAUUCAUGACUGGGGUG